rnacentral:lncRNA from 1 species
CUGGAAUAGAUGCUUGAUGUUGUUCAGCCUAAUUGUAAGGUCUUACCUCCUAUGUCCUGGAGUGCUGACUUCUGAUUAUGAGACCUUACCCAAGAAGCAUACUACUGAGAAAUAUAUUUUCCUCGGCGGUCUGUGUGAUCUAUCCUAACUCACAGUGAGCUGAGGAUGAGAAGUGGGCAUUUGGGAAAGGAGAACAGUGCUCUUGCCCUGAUCUGUUGCUUUUGUUGCUGUGACUUGGCAGCUAGUGUCC